UCCUCUUUUCUUAGAGACUCAC
rnacentral:miRNA from 1 species